UACGGAGGGGGCUAGCGUUGUUCGGAAUUACUGGGCGUAAAGCGCACGUAGGCGGCUUUGUAAGUUAGAGGUGAAAGCCCAGGGCUUAACCCUGGAAUUGCCUUUAAGACUGCAUCGCUAGAAUCGUGGAGAGGUGAGUGGAAUUCCGAGUGUAGAGGUGAAAUCGUAGAUAUUCGGAAGAACACCAGUGGCGAAGGCGACUCACUGGACACGUAUUGACGCUGAGGUGCGAAAGCGUGGGGAGCAAACAGG
rnacentral:rRNA from 1 species